CGCUGUAAAUGAUGAUUGUUAAAAAAACAAUGGGAAUCUCUCUGAAAAAGAAUGAAAGAAAUGUUUUUACUGACACAGUG
ensembl:snoRNA SNORD79 Small nucleolar RNA SNORD79